rnacentral:tRNA from 1 species
GGGGAGGGGAACGCCGAGGGGGCGUCCCCGGCCUACUGGGCCGGGGACGCCCCCUCGAAACGUUCCGGCCGUCCCCGCCCUG